UCUUAACAAAAUUCUUCACAGGACUUAGUUUAGUGGAUCUCUGGGGAUUGGGCGUGAACGUGACAUUUCACCCCUGGGUCAGAGGCCACUUCCUGCUCCGACAUGGGUACAGGUCUGUGAUUCAUCAGUCUUACACAAUUCACAGCGCUCACCAUAGUACAUACCCUCCCCAAUCAUGGACCUCCUUUUAGUAAUUUGAAAUACCCAUGACUUUAUUCUAAUCUUGAACAACACGACAUAUACAUAUGUCAGCUCAACUGUCACUUCCUCAGAGAAGACUUCACAAAGACACCAGGUGACAUGGCCGUGGAAGUGACAGGUGUAGAUGCUUUGAGAGUCAUCGUGAGGUUCUACCAUCUUUUCCCUCUGAUGCAAGGCUCAUCAUGUUCUCAGAUGGGAAUCUUCUAUCAACAUGGAUCCCAAAGUGAAGAGGAUGAGGGAUGGGGCCAGAGUUGACCUCAACCAACAUGGAACACGAGCGAAAUAAUUAGUUUUUAUUCUUGUAAGGAACUGAAAUUUGAAGGUCGUUUGUUAUUGUGGCUUAACCCAGGGAAAGAUGACUGAUACACUUUCCUUCACAAAAAUUAUAUAUCAUUUGACUCAAAUUUAGAGCUAUAUGCCUCAUGAAAAAAUGGUCAUUCCCAUUUGGGUGAGUCAUCCGUCAGUGUUAUCCAGGUGCAAAGCUUCAGGAAGGCACAAAUGCCAUCAUGAGGAAGUGGAAUUCUCAACCAGUAAAGCCAAUGGGCUAACUUUUAUAUUCACCAACCUCAAAGAUAUGGAAGCCAGCUUGCCUUGCAGCUCUGCUGGAAGUGCCCAGAGGAUCCCAUCUGAAAUAUGGAGGAGAGUUUGCAACAAGAGAUUGCUAUCAAUCAGACAGGGAUUUCCUUUCUUAGUUAGGAAAAUCAAUGAGGUGGGGGAGAGAUUUAUCUGCUGAUUUAUACAGAAACAAGAAUAGUCAGAGCUCAUCAUAAUAUCAUUUUUAAUAGUAAUAUCGCAUAGAGAAGUAUAAAAGAAACUCACUCAAGACAAAAAGAGUUUGUACAGAUUGGCCAAGUUCUUUCUUAAUUUUCCUUCCUCCUCCUCGUCCUCCCAUUCCUGUUCCAUUUCCCUUCUGUCUUUCUUCCUUGUCUUUACCCUAAAUCUACUCAUGGCCAUCUUUGGAAGAUGUGAGGAUAAUAAAUAUAAAUAGAUAUAUAGAGAUGUUCCCUACUGAAAGCAAAAGAUGAAUUAAAUAUACUCUUAUUUCGAGUUUAGUCCAUUUAUAACUCUAAAAUAUUAAAAGAACUUCUUAACCCUAAACCUCUAAAGUUUGAAAAACCUUCCAAAAACAACUUGAUAUUUGAGGGGUUUUGACACUUUCUUUUAAGUAAUGCCAAAGUGUAUUCUCACUUCCCCAGGCUUGCCCAGCCAUGAUCAGCUUCAGUUCAAGCUUUCCCUGAGUAUCUGCUAGGAUCAUAAAUCUGUUUUCAUGUAGAACUUGUACUUUUAAAGUGUGGAUUAUCUUACUGAAGAUCAUCUUUUUGCCAUGAGCUUUCUAUCCCAAGGUCAGUUCCCCUAAAC